rnacentral:tRNA from 1 species
GCGGAUGUGGCGGAAUGGUAGACGCGCUGGCUUCAGGUGCCAGUGGGGGCAACUCCAUGGAGGUUCAAGUCCUCUCAUCCGCACCA